CGUUGAGGAGCGAAAGCAUGGGAGCGAACAGGAUUAGAUACCCCGGUAGUCCACGCCGUAAACGUUGGGAACUAGAUGUAGGGGCCAUUUCACGGUUUUUGUGUCGCAGCUAACGCAUUAAGUUCCCCCCCUGGGGAGUACGGCCGCAAGGCUAAAACUCAAAGGAAUUGACGGGGGCCCGCACAAGCGGCGGAGCAUGCGGAUUAAUUCGAUGCAACGCGAAGAACCUUACCAAGGCUUGACAUAUACCGGAAACGUCCAGAGAUGGUCGCCCCGCAAGGUCGGUAUACAGGUGGUGCAUGGUUGUCGUCAGCUCGUGUCGUGAGAUGUUGGGUUAAGUCCCGCAACGAGCGCAACCCUCGUUCUAUGUUGCCAGCACGUUAUGGUGGGAACUCAUAGGAGACUGCCGGGGUCAACUCGGAGGAAGGUGGGGAUGACGUCAAAUCAUCAUGCCCCUUAUGUCUUGGGCUUCACGCAUGCUACAAUGGCCGAUACAAAGGGCUGCAAUACCGUAAGGUGGAGCGAAUCCCAAAAAGUCGGUCUCAGUUCGGAUUGAGGUCUGCAACUCGACCUCAUGAAGUCGGAGUCGCUAGUAAUCGCAGAUCAGCAACGCUGCGGUGAAUACGUUCCCGGGCCUUGUACACACCGCCCGUCAAGUCAUGAAAGUCGGUAACACCCGA
rnacentral:rRNA from 1 species